rnacentral:lncRNA from 1 species
CUUCAGAGGAAAGCUGACCAGUCUGUCUCUUCAGGAGUGAGUCAGCGCUAAAAAUCUAAGAAACUGGAAGAACUGGAAGAAAGCUGCACCUUCACAACUCUGAGAUAUUCACUUUGACUUGUUGAUAUAAGAUUUAAUGCAAUAAUGAUGGAGAAGUAGGGAAACACUUGAAAAAGGACAAACCUGUAAAAAACCUGAACUUCAUCAUGAGGUCUGAACUCCUGACUCUUCAUUUAGUCUCACAACAACAGCAGUGUGACUGAUGGAGCUGAUGCUGAUCACUGAUAAUCACCUCUGAUACUAAUGAUACGAAUAAUACUAAAGAUUUUAAUUUUAGUAUGUAACAGUGUGCGUGUUUGAAAACCUGAGAGCUAGGGAAAGUUUUAAAGUACAAACCUGCAGAUUAAAACAAAGAGCGGUUUGGAUUGUGAAGUGCAGCUCUCUCUCCUCCAUGUUUAUUAGUUUACAUCAUUAGUUUACACGCACCGCUGACUUCAGCUCCUGUUAUAUCCUGAUUAGGUGUUUUAAUGGACUUGAGUUUGUCGGUCUGGUUCUGAGAAAUCAGACUUUGUGCCGCAGAUGUUAGACUCUGAUGUUUAUUUUGAAAGUCCAGAUUGAGUAGAAAAUCGAUUUUUUUAACAUCAUUUAAACAGAAUGACUGUUUUACAUGAGAAAGCUGUCAUAGAGCCACUGAACCAUCAGACUGAAUCAGCUGAACCAAAUCAAAUAAAUGUUUUUUCAUGAACCCACUGGACCGAGGUCAGGAGGUCAAACUGAUGUUGCUGAUAUUGUGGGUCAGACUGUGAGUGUGUGCAGAGAUCACAGAGAGAUACUGUUCCAGAUGUGUUGUUUGUUUGUCGCUGAAAUCUUUAGUCACCAUCCUCCUUAGAUAAAGGUGUCUCAUCAGGUGUCUAUAAGGUCAAUGAUUUUGUCAUUUAUUACUCUAACUUCAUGUUUGUCCUGCUCCUACUGCUCCAUAUGUCUACAUCUUUGUUUGGAUGACAUCUUGAGUGAAUAUACUAGCAGCCUAUUUUGCAGACUGCAGUCGCGUUUCCCUCCUCUGAUUCUGUGGAAAAACACCCGCUGGGUCUGAAUGUUUCUCGUUUAUCAGUAAAUCAAAGCAGCUUUUAUCAGGUGUUUUUAUUCAAUAAAUCUAUAUGAUUAAAAUGAGAAAAUUCACAUGUUCAGAUGAUGUUUUACCUGCUUUCACCAGAGUCUGCAGACGUGUGAUCAGACUUAAGCAAGAAAUCAGACUGAAUCCACCUAGACUCCAAAUCCAAGCCCACAGACUCUCUCUCUCUCUCUCUCUCUCUCUCUCUCUCUCUCUCUCUCUCUCUCUCUCUCCAUCUAUCUAUCCAUCUAUGUCUAUUUAUUCGUCUUCGCUGUGUCUGCCUCACUCUGUUGCUGUAUCUGCUGCCUGGUUGCUAUGGUUACAGUGGCAGUCGGGGUUGGGACCUGACUCUCAAUGAGGCUUUGAUGUGUUCGGGGUUGCUACGGUAACAGUGCCAUCUUUGUCUCCUCUCUCUGUCUUCAUUCUGAAUCUUCAUCCCCUCUGUUGUUCUCCUCAGACAGACGUGUGGGUCUGUGAUCUUUGGGUGAUCGUACUGAUUUAACCCCAGGAAGGAGGAAACAUCUCUGAGGUGUCGGUUAAAUUCAGAUUUAAAACAUCCGUAGGUCUUAUAGAUGCACCACUACAUAGAUGUAUUACAGAGUAAAUAUAAACCUAAAGCCAUUUUUGUUGAUAAUCUAGAAUUUUAAAAACCGCAGUUCCUCCACUGACCACUAGGAGUUGUUUCCAGAAGUUAGUCAAUCCCCUUAGAGCCCCAUGUUAAAACUACUAUUGUAUCUAUAUGUAUAUAUCUAUGUAUUGUACCUAUAUUUCUUUAUUCAUGAUGACUUUACAGGAUAAAUUUUCAUAAACACACAAUAUUUGAUUGAAACUCUUUUUGGAGAUCAUGGACAGAGUAGAGGGUCCACCUGGCUCGUUCUCAGCUGUUAUGAUGGAUCUUUAAAGUCACCUGAAAAUCAAGCAACAGGUCUCUCUCUCCUAAUACGAUCACUAACAGACUCUGAGCUCUACAGGCCGCUCAGCUCCAAUGUUUUCAAAAUCACCUUUUUUUUUUUUUAAUAAACCUGUCAGAACUGUGUGUGAGAGAUAUCAGCACGUCAGCUCAUCAUUGAUCCAGACCAAAAUAAUCAUCCACAGCAUUAACACACACACACACACACACACACACAUUAGCAUGUAAAUUAAGCUCCAUUCAAGCGCGAUCCAGCAGCCUUCUUCUUUCAUUUGACCACACAUCAAUCCACAGGUACACACACACACACUCGCACACAAACACACACACAACUUGUUUUGGCCUCAGUGUUAAUUGUGUGUGUGAACGUAUUAACAUCAGAUAAUCAUUCCCCUUCACUUUCCUCUUCUCUCCGCCUCCUUAAAAUAAAUUCUUAAUGUUCAAUGAACAGAGGCUGAGACAGGAGAGACGCGCUCUCUUCUUCUAGUUCUAGUCAAUUUCAGACGUCAAUAUUUUUUUUCGAACCCGUAUCCUGUCAAUACAAGUGUUCACAUCAGCGAUGUUUUCCCGUUCUGUGAUAUCGCGUUGUUUAUUUUUUCGGAUCACGGUCGAUUUUUCUAAAGUUUCGCAGACAGUGUGUCCACUUCUGACCAAUCAGAUUGCGUGUUGUUGCGACGUCAUAUUUAGCAGUAUAUCCAACAUAUCCGACUGGCUGAUCGUUUAUGAGUCGGAAACAGAGUGAUUUUUGAUAAAAAAAACACAAAUAUUACAAAGAUAACGACCUGAAGGACGACUUGUAGAGAGUCAUAGUGUCGGAUUUCUCAUAUGACGAUGGUUUGUGAGCUUUAACAGUUUGAUAAACGUCUUUGUUUGAACUUUCAUCUGUGCUAACGUAAGCUAACGGUUGUUACCAUAGUUUCAUGUGUUUAUCUGGUACUGGCCCCGACUCAAUACAUGCUAUCAUGACAGACAGACAUCUCAACACUAGAGUCUAAUCAGAACUGAAAAACACUCAGCGACCGUGGUCCAGUUCUGAGACAGGAUGGGUCUGAUUUUUGAGAUAUUGCACAGGUGGAAAAAGGUGAACCUGGAGAUUUGUUAAAGGACAAUUCUGUGAGACUGGAUGACAGACUGAUGCUGUCUACCGUAGUUAUACUGUCUUUUUAGAAAGUGCUUCUCUAAGGUAUUCAGGACCGAGAACCAGGACUAGGUGUGUCUAUGAUGUAAACAGGUGUGAACAGGGAUUAGAGUACCUGGUUUAACAGUCAGCUCUCUGGUCUUAAUGGUCUUUGAGGUUAUAAUUUGUUGGGUGUGUGUUCAGUUGUAUUUCACACACAGUAUCAGAGUCCCCAGCUGUCAGCAGGGAAAUGAACUGUCUCUUCAGAUUACCCAACAGGCCCGCUGCAGCACUCCUCCUAUUUCCUCCUCCUCCUCCUCCUCCUCUUUUUCUUGAAUCCAAGUUGUAGCCUGAAACACUUUUUAAAACCGAGGCCCUCACUCCUGCUCUCCAGACUCCUCCGUCUUUGUCUCUCUCUCUCAUGUUGUCUGUAUUUUCAUCUCCGUCUCUGACCGUCACAUCCUCCUCGUAAACCUCUUCCUCCUCCUCCUCCUCUUCCUCCUCCUCCCUUUUUCUCCCCACUUCAAAUCUCCUCUUCUAUUUCCAUCUCCUCCUCCUUCUCUUUCCUCCCUUAAUGUGCUCGUUAACCUGUGUGUGUGUGUGUGUGUUUGUGUGUGUGUGUGUGUGUGAUUGACAUGGGAACUCUGCUAUAAAGACCUUCACUGCAAAUGAGAUUCUCUCCCCUAUUGGCAUUUAAUUAUCCACAGCAACACACACACACACACACACACACACACACACACACACACACUAACACACAAAAUUGCUUAUAAAAGUCUUGUUGCCACAGUGAUCCUCUCUGUUUCUUCAUGCACUCUUGUAAAACCAUCUUACACACACACACACACACACACACGCAGACACACACACAUACGUGUAGUCCAGAAGUGAACACAAUGAGAACAUCUGUCAGGCAACUAGUGUUUCAUGUAAGGAGUGUUUGUUUGUGUUUGCAUGAUUAAAGGUGUGUGUGUGUGUGUGUGUGUGUGUGUGUGUGUGUGUGUGUGUGUGUGUGUGUGUGUGUGUGUGUGUGUGACAGAGGGGAAGGCAGAUGAGACUGGACUGACCACCUGCUCACUGACAGAGCUGAGGACACGCUGAGACGCUUCCUAAACCUGAAAACCUCUUUUACAUCCAGCUUUAGGAGAACACACACUCUUACUCACACACACACACACACUGUCACAGAAAGUCGUCACACUGUGGGGGUGUCCUUGCCAGUGUGUGUGUGUGAGUGUGUCCCUUCACCUGUCAAUAUGAAGGUUAUUGAUGAGACAGCAGAGCAAUAGACCUGAGGGACAGAGAGACUCCUCCUCUUCAACACACACACACUCUCUCACACACACACACACAUUGUCUCACACAAACACACACACACUCUUUUUGUUGGGGAUGAUCCAGACCCCCUGAUGUCCCCAAAGCUGGUAUCUUCUCUCCAGGCCCAGAGGAUUCCUGACUAACCCUUAACUAAACCUUUACCGAGCGUAAACUGACCCCUUACUACACCCAUCUGUAAGCCUUGACUCAGCCUUAAUCAAGCUUAAUUAACACCCUUAAUUAAGCCUUAACUAAUCCUCACUAAACCCAAACUAACCUUCUAUAAGUUCCUAUAAUAAGCCUUUUUGUAACCCUAAAUUUAACCUUUAUAUCACUCUUAAUUGAGACUUACUUAGACGUUUGAAUCAGACUUACCUAGGCCUUCAUGAUACCCUUACCUGAGCUUCAACGAGCCCUUUAUUGCACCCUUAACUCAGCCUGAACUUUGACCGUAAUACACCCAUUACCUAAACCAUAAACUUGGCCUUUAUUACACUCUUCACUUAACAAAACUUUAUUACAACCCCUAACUUAGCCUAAACUUCACCUUUAUUUUACUCUUAACGAAGCCUUUACCUACCCAUUUGCUCAGCCUAUAUUACAACCUAAACGAAGCUUUUACUCGCCUUUGUCACACCCUUGAUUAAGCCUUAAUUAACCCCAAUUACAGCCUUUACCUAAUUCUUAACUUUGCUUUUGUUAAGCUCUUAAUUAAACCCUUAAUUAAGCCUUUUCAACCCCUUAUUACACCCUUAAUUCAGUCUUAACUGACCCUUUAUUGCAUCCUAUACUAAGGACUAUCGUAGCUUUAACUUAACCUUUGUUACACCUUUAAUUUAGCCUUGAAUAAUUCAUUUUAACACCCUAUUACCAAGACUUAACUUCGACUCAAAUCUAGACAUUUUAGAGACACUUAACUUAGCACUGACUUAAAACCCUGUUAGUAAAAUUUAAGAAAAUUUUAAGAGAAUUUAUUGAUGGAUUGUAUCUUUAUGUAGAAGAAUCUUUACACAGUAACAGUUAUUAUAUACAUCCAACAACAGGUGGAAAAACCUGGUUCUCUUUAUGGAUGUGGGUUCUGGAAUUUUUGAGUCCAUAUCAAUCUCUUUUUUUUUUUUUAAAUAUUGUAGUUUAUGUCGAGGUUGGACUACAGAACACUUUCUCAUUGAGGCCUGCUCUGUUCUGUACCCUGGUCGUCUUUGCUGCUGCUCCCCCUGCCUCAGACUCUCAUGGUUCAUAUACACAUGAGAAAGAUACUUGAUUGAUGCUUUACAAGAAUUUCUAGAUCUGCAAGAAUUAACUCAAAAUGCAAAAUCUCUUCUUUUGUUUUAGCAGUAAAAGUCCAUCCAGCAUCCGUUUGUAUCUGUAACAUUAAUUCUCUCUCUCUCUCUCUCUCUCGCUCGUCCAGGUGGCGUUCAUCUCUCCCUCUGCCCGACGGUCGUGUCUCUCACAGCAGGCAGCAUCUGGUUCGUAACUCUGACGCACACAAACGCACCACAUGUACAGUACACACCACAUGCAGACUUUGAUACUGAGGACACACACACACACAUGCACACACACAACCACGCACACAUGCACACAAAGGCUUUAAUCAAGUCAAAAGCUUCCAGCUGACUGGUACACAAGAAGUCAGAUGAAUUCACACACUCAUCCGUCUUCUGCACACACACACACACUCUGACACAAACACACACACACACACUGCUGGUAGAACAUGUGCCAAAGCAUCUGUUUGUGUCUUUGUAAACAGGCCAAAAGUAACACUUGAUUUUCUGGCUGCUGAUUGGUCGACAGAGUGGAAUUAGUUCAUCAUCCUAAAACUGUCGAUUCUGAGUUAACCUUAUUUACUCUUAUUUUAUUUUUACUCUAUAAAACUGACGACAUGUUGGGCACCUUGUGAUAUUUUUAGUAGCUGAGAGUCAAUACUCCGUACAGCUUCCAAGUCGGUCCUAAACGCCUGUAUGAGGAACACAAACAGCUUGACUACUAAACUAGGAGUGCAACGAUCACAAUUUUCUGGCUGAUCACCGAUCUUUGAAAAGCUUGACCCGCCGAUACCAAAUUUGGACGAUACCUUUUCUUCUUUUUUUAAUAACUGACAACAUCCACCUUCGAUGCUCCAAUCUUAUUUUAAUGAAAAACAUUAAACUUGUAAAGCAAUACAAACAUUUGUGUUUGUUUAAACUGCAUAUGAGGAAGUUCUCAAAUUUUUUUUUAAAAAGUUAAGAAUAUUUCUGUCCAAACUACUAAAUUAUAUCAGUUCCUUUAGUCUUUUAUUUUCCACAUUUUAUAAAUUGGUCACAUUUUUUGAGCUUCUUACCAAAUAAAGUGCACAGGAAGUUAGUAAAGUGAUAAUCUACAGGACAAACUAACAAAAUAAACUUAAAUAAACUGUCCUGAGUUUUAGGUUUCCUUGUAGUGGGUUCAACAUGCCUGGGUGAUCAUACUCCCGAUGAAUGUUGUGUGUGCCGCUGGCGCUGACGCAUGCGUGCAUGCACACGUGACCUGGUGGGCGGGCCUGACCUAAGACCUUUGUUGAGGUCGAUAAGAUUGGUGGAUAAAAUCUGUUUCAGGUGUAAGGAUCAGCCGAUCCCCGAUUCCCUAAAAUUUAGGAAAGCAGCACCGAUCGAUCGGCCGGCUGAUUUAUCAGUGCGUGUUUACUCUAAACAUCAGUGAAGACGUUAUUUUCUGCAAAGCUAGUUUGUGUUUGGAAAUUCGACAGUCGGUGGUAGUUUAGCGUGGAUGCGAAGUAGGGAUAACGAAAAGGGUCUUCAUUGUGUACGACAGCGUUUAAAGUGCACAAAGUAGGGUUUAUAAUGUAACUUUCAUAACAAAAACCAUCGACUCGUUUCAGUUCAAACUGUGUUGUAUCGUAUCAGACUGUAAUUUAUCCUUUCAUAUUUAAAUAGUUGGAGAAGUGUCAUCAUAACAAACUGAAAUAACUCUGCUGUUGUGUGUAAAUGUACAGUGAGCGAGUUUCCCCUGUAAAGAAGGAUGAUCUUUGUUUUCUGGCAGCUUUAAGCCGUUUCUGCGUGUUUUUCUACGCUCUGAUUUUGUUUUAGGAAACGUGACGUUUGACCCCGCUGUGUUUAUGUCUCAUAUUUAGUUUAAUUUAUCAUAGAAGUAAUUUUUCAGGCUGUACAAGUCUUCAUAAGUUUCAUAACUCUUAACCCAUCUAUCUGCUGAAAAAUGUCUGACAUUGACUCCCAGCGUUCUUCACCUCGGGCUCAUAAACAGAACGGACUCUGUGUUCGGGGCGAGCGGGGUGUCGGUUUGACCGCAUGGCUCUGUGUGGGAGGACAACAGCCCGCUGUGAGUGUGAGUGUGUGUGAGUGUGUGUGAGCCUCAGGCGGACAGCAGGAAUGUGUCAGACCCGUGAUGAAUGAAGAUGAGGCCGCAGAGCCCUGUGGAUGAGCUGCACCCAGAGGCUCACCUGCACCGUGGGGCUCACCUGCCUCCGGGCAAACUAGACCUCCUGGGUGAGGUUUGGGCCGCUCGGUUUAAUGAGGAGGACGGAUGCUGAUGUUUCUCCCGGCAUCACUGUGAGAAACAUUUUCCUCUGUUAUUAUCAGAGUGUGAGAAAUAAAGCUACUGUGAAGUCCAGAAAACUGCAGUUCCUUCACCGUCCACCAGGCUCCAAAAGUGAGUCACUUCCAGUUUCAGCCAGUAGGGGGAGUGUACCGCUUCCAGCUGUUUCCUUCCUUAUUCUGCCCCUACAGAUUAGUCAAAAUGUGCUAUAAAAGCUUUAUUUAAGUCAAAUUAGUAAGACUAUUCAGGGUUUGAAUGUAGAUGUAAGAAUUAGAGUCAGAAACUGUCGGAUAGUGGAAAUUGAAUCUGUUCCUACAGCAGUUGUUGGCUUAAGUCUAGAAGACAGCGCCAACUAGAGCGUUUGUUGGUGUUUCUUUUUUAUUUAUCAGUGGUGUAGUCAGUAGUUACAGUUUCACUGUAUGAUGCAGUGUGUGUGCAAACAGGUACUUUUGAGAGAAAUGUACAUUAGUUAACUGUGGUUUAUGGAGAGGAAACGCACCCGACGUCCUGUUUCUAAUUCUCAGACUGUACACGGUGCAGGGGUGGAACAUCAGCUCAUUCAGUGUUCGCCACAGUGAUGUUUUCCUGGAGGUUUGUUUAUUAGACUCAGGGUUACGGUCGGCUUUUCCUUCUUCAUGUGAAUAUUCGACGUGUAAUCUCUGCACAGAUUUCCUCCUGCAGUAGUUGAGUGGAAACCCUGAGGUGAUGUGAGGCUCCUGUAGCAUCAGCGUUACCUUUCAGCGAUCAGCCAACCUGCUGUUUUAUAUUUUCUUUAUUCUCAUAUUCAACAUCCGCAUAAGCUGCUGAAAAAACACAUAAAACUGGAGGAAUCAGACUCUGAUCUUACAAACUAACACACAUAAAACAAUCAAGAAGUUAAAGUUGUUUUUAUCCCGUUUGAAUAAUCUCAAGAUUAUUUCACACUGGUCGCUCUCUGCUUUGUCCUCCGUAUUAUCAGCUGACUCUCUUUCUGACCCGCCACCUCCUUCACUGACGCCCCUAAUAGACCCCCCUCCCCUCUCAGAUAACCCCCCCUCGAUGGCGAUGACAGGCUGACCUCUCUCUAUCUCUCUCCUCCUCCUUCUCCACUGUUCUCAAAUUUCCCAUCAUGCCGUGCUUGAGGACAAGAUGCGGCGUCACCUCCGCUUGUCCUCCCCGCAACCUCUAACACCCUGACCCUUCACACACGUGCACAUGCACACACACACAUGCACACGCACAUGCACGCUGUUUUACAGAAAUAUCAGAGUUGUUCGCUCUAAACUUCCCUAAACUUCGCCCAAACUUCGCCCAAACUUCGCCUUUAUUUC